UAUGUUUAUGAGGAGUAAGGGACAUCAGAAUCUCGUUUUUUGGAGAUGAGAAUGAUGAGUAAUUGUCUAAAUGGGAAUCUCUGUGAUGCACA
rfam:Arabis alpina cultivar Pajares Aa.chr1_contig_2164, whole genome shotgun sequence.